UAGUAAGGGUGGAAUCCUAAUCCUACAGAAUUGGUGGCCUUAUAAGAAGAGAGAGAGACACUUUUCUCCCUCUUCUAGUGCAUACACUGAGAAAAGGCCAUGGGAGGCCACAGCAAGAAGGCAGCCACCUGCAAGCCACGGAAGGCGGCCGCACCGGGAACCAAAUCAGCUGGAAACUUGGUCUUGGACCAUAAACAUCUGUUGUUGAAGCCUCCCUCCAUCUGUGGUACUUAGUUACAGCAACUCGAGAAGGCAAAUGCAUGAAAAUGGAUGCGGUUUUACUGACUGAAGCAGUUAAUAUUUGUAAGCAGCUUCCAGAGAGUUUGAAUGUGGUUAAACUGGAAUCUACACUGAAGAAUCUGGUGGCCGGUGAGACGGCUCAGAAUACAUCAGUGUUUGGAUAUUCUGCAAGUAAAAUGAGAAUGAAGAUUCAUUACUCUUAAGAGCUGAAUUGUCUCCCCCGUAAAAAGAGACAAGGUGAAAUCCUAACUCCGGCAACGUCAGACUGUCACUUUCUGUGGAAAUAGCAUCCUGAUAGAGAAAGUCAAAUUAAAAUGAUGAAGGAGGAACCCAAUCCUGUAUAACUGGCAUCCCAUAUAAAAAGGGGACUUUUGCACACAGACAAACGCAGGAGGAAGAUGACGUGAAGACACAGACAGAAAGUCACGUGAGGCUGGAUUGAUGUGGCCACAAGCCAGGAGUCCCUGGUUGACGAAGAGCUGGAAGAGGCAGGAAUGACCCUUUAUCUCCAAGUCUCAGAGGGAGCAUGGCUCUGCUGACACCUUGAUUUUGAACUUCCAGCCUCGGAACUGUGAGACGAUAUAUUUCUAUUUUAAGCCACCCAGUUUAUGGAAAUUUUUAUGGCAGCCCUAAAAAACUAAUACAAUCGUACUUCUGAUAAUAUAAAAUG
rnacentral:lncRNA from 1 species